UGUGUCACCUGAUGAAUGGAUAAACAAAACAGAGUGUCUGUAGUAGAAUAUUACUCGUCCAUACAAAGGAAUCAAUUUCUGAUCCAUAGGACAACCUGGAUGAGACCUGAAAACAUGCUAAGUGAAAGAAACCAUACUUAAAUGACCACAUAUUAUGAGAUUUCAUUUUUAUAUGAAAAGUCCAGAAUAGGUAGAAUAGAGACAGACAAUAGGCAAGAGCUUGCAGGGGCUGGGGGAAAGGAGGAGCGGAGGGUUUCUUUCUGGGGCAAUAAAAUGUUCCGGAAUGAGACAGCUGGUGAUGAAUGCUCAACUUCGUGACUACACUAAAAGUCACUAAAUUGUUUACUUUCAAGGGGUCCUUUUUAGUGUGAGACCCUCCUACAGCAUAUGAAACAUACCUCAAUAUGUUUUUAAAGCAUAAACAAGAGACAAAAACCUAUAGGGGACAGGUGAGGACACACCAAUGAAUUAUCACCUUUACCGCUGAACGUAUGGAGGGGGUUCGCAGUCAGGGACAUUUUUUUCCCAAGGGACUGCCUUGUUUCAGAACGGUUGCUAAGUGACUCUGGUUGGACUUGCUAAGUCUUGCUAGUGACUUUAUACUUUUGUCCUUGAAAGAAUGAAAGAAAGAAGUGUUCUCUCUCAGUUUAAAAGCCAUUCCCCUAUCACAGCAGCCCUGCAACACAGCAUCUUCCUCCGAGUCUCUGACAGCCAGGACAAUGCCUUAUUUAUAAUAAAUCAACCCAAAAGAAUAGGCCUGUUGCCAAGACCUGGGGCUGCCCAGCAAACAGAAAGCAUCUUGGUUCUGAGCUCAGUGUGGUUGCACAUCGUCUCCAAGUCCAAGGUCACUCUGUCCUUUACCAGGGAGGCCGCCUGCCCCUGCGAAGGCUCUUGUGAUCCAAAAGAAAACUGAUGUCAUCCCCGACCCACAAUGAUGAUGGCAAAAACAGAAUUUUAGAAUCAAAGGAAACCUCAGAGGCCAUCACCUGAGCCAAAGGAUCUAAUGACAGGAUCAAGUUUAGAUUCCUUUGCUGGUCACCUGUGAUUGGUGGACUGGAUGCCCGGAGUAGAAAGCUGCACCUGCCACUAUGGCCUCUGCAGGAAUGAGACGGAAGGCAAGGGGGGUCAGCUUUCAGGGCCCUGCAGCUCAUGGUCAGGUUUUGGACUUUAUUCUCCUUGUCACGGUCAUCCAUCAGAAGGUUUUAUGCAGGGAAACGAGCCAGAAGAACCCAGGUGCUGGCUGUGGGCAACGCUUUUCAUUUUUUCCCCCCCGA